rnacentral:rRNA from 1 species
GUUUCGGUGGUCAUUGCGUUAGGGAAACGCCCGGUUACAUUCCGAACCCGGAAGCUAAGCCUUCAGCGCCGAUGGUACUGCAUG